CGUCAUGGCCCUGGUCGCCCGUCGGUCCGCCUGGGAGUGGGGCCGGCCCGGAGGCUCCCGCCGGCUCCUCUCUGCUCCAGUGGCCCCUCCGCGCGACCCCGGGCGUUAGGCGGCCGAGCUGAGGCUCCGAGAGCAAGCGGAGCGGGACAGCCCAGAAGCUGCAAGCCGCUGAGUAUGCUGAGAUGAUUGGAAGACUGCGGAGAAGACGUACCCAUCCGUGCCUCAGAGCGAAUUGCAAAGCUCAUCUACAGCCAGAUUGACAGCAUAGUUUUUUAGGAAUCAUGAAUCAACUUUGGGCUACUUCCUAAAAUUAAGCCAUGAAAGCCCUCUUGGAGUUUACACAGCCAUCUGCAGCACUUGAAUGUGAAAAAUGAUCUUCUUCCAUCAGAGAGAUCGCCCUCUUCAGCUAAAUCAUCAGAAGUGGUGAGAAGAAGAGACCCUACCUGACCAAACUCAUGCAGACAAAUUAAACCCAGCUUUAUUUUUUUAAGCAAGGGAUGGAGUUGUAUGGGAGUGGCCAGAUCACUGCACUGAUUGGUCCCCCUAGCACUCCACCUCCAUGCAGGUUGUACCCAUGCAAGGCACUGGCUGAGGCAGCAAAUGGGAGCUGAAAUCCUGCUCAUGAUCCACUCACCAAACCCAGUUGAUUGGUGCAUGGCCGUGUCUGCCCAGACGAUGUGGCUUCUUUUUCUAAUUUGCACCAAUGCACCCUGGUUGGGCUAGUGACAAGUCUGACCAUCCCACUCCCAUAUCACAGUCCUACCUGGAUUAUGUUCUCUACCUCCGAUGGAUUCAAGAUUUUUAUGAACAAAUGAGGUUUCUUGCAAAAGAUGAAAUAACUGACCCAAAUUGAAAUUGAUUUCAUAGGUAAAGUUCAGAAUAUGAUCAUAGAUAGGAAUUAUGUAUAUGUGUGUUUACAUAUGUAUGUAUACACAGUUAUGUCUAUGUAUCAGAAGUUAGCAUGACUUAAAUUUGGUAAGUUUUAUUUUAAACUACUUUGGGUAUGGGAAUCAGUUUUAUAUAUGGAUUUCUGGACUUCACAGGAGUAUGUACUAUUUAAUUCCAUUUCAACAAAUACAUAUUAAGUGCCAGGCACUGUGCUAAUGUAUACAGUAAUGAAAAAUAAUACAAACACCCAGCCUGUAGGUAGUUACUAAUCUAGUAAGGAAGACAAAUGAUAAGGUCACAGAUAAACUUGUGAUUAUAAAUUACAGUAAAGGCUAUGAAAAGAAAUCCUAAGAUGGAAAAUAACAAGGCACAUUUAUUUCAGAUUAGGUGACUGGAAACAGCCUCCCUGUGAAAAUGACAUGUCAGCUGGGACCUGAGGGUGAGUUCGAAGGAGUUUAUGAAAUGCUGCCUCUCUGCCAUUUAAAGUUCAGAAAAAGAAAGGAAAUAAUGCCAUCUGCAGCAACAUGGAUGGAUCUAGAGAUUAUCAUACUAAGCAAAAUCUUGACAUCUAGAUAACCAUCUAUGAAUAGAAAUCUAGUGAAGAGAGAUAAGCUUGAAAUUUGCACAUAAUGAACGAUGCUAAUACUUUCUUAACUGACGCCAUCCCACGCUGGCUGUGUAUCUGGAGGUCGAUGUCCACGUGCAGGAUGAAGAUAAAAUGGAGAGUCAAUUUCAAGAGGAAUAAAGAGGAAAGUCUUCAAGGCAGUGAAAAAGUUGGGUUUGUCAUCACAUUACAAGCAUGUAGAAUAAUUUUUAGUGGAUACCCAUUGGAAGAGAACCUUAAAAAAACAAAAACAAAAAAAAGACUUGCUCAUGUUCCAAGCUGGAAGUAACAUUGCUCUGAAUGAGAGAAGUAGUCUUCAUCAGGAGAAGCAAAGCAGAGCUUCUUACAGCCCAGCUAUAGGAAACAAAUGUCUUUGAGUGAACUCUUCUGAUUUUUAUUAGUGUAUUUAAGGUAGGUUCAACCUCACACAUUUCUCCAAAUGUGAGGUGACAUCUCGCAUAAUCACUCCAAAAUGUCGUAUUCAUCAUUGGCUUCAAACUAUGCAAAAAUGUCUGUUCCUGUCACAUUUGUUAAAGAGCAGCUCAGCAGUUACAACACUGACACAUUUAAAAUUUAGUUUCCAGUGUUGUACUGAUGGAGGCAAACAUUUCUCUUCUUUUCUCCUUUAAAGAUUCAUCAUUUCAAGCACAGAAGUUGUAAGACUCCUUGAAUAGACUGAGGGCACAGGGAACUGCACUGGAUGUCUUAGUUAAAACUAUGAAUUUCAUAUAGCUGUGGCUGUGAAGUAAAGACUUGAUGUGUGCAGGUGAAUUAUAGAAGGUCACUAUAGUCACACUAUGUGCUAAGUGACCAAUGGAUGUGAUGGUUGGGUAAUGGGGAGUUUUCAACUCCAAGGUCAUCGUCUGGUGGAGGAGACAGGACUGAGAGACACAAAAGAGACCUAAGAGCACUUUGGAAAUAAGAGUCAUGAGUUUAUUCAGCGUUCAACACUUCUGGCUAGCGCCAUCUUGAAAUUUGCUUUCAUGGGUGUCUGGAGGGUCAUGAUACUCUAAUUCUUUUCUUACUUCUCUUAUUACAUCCGCAUAGAUUUCAUUCUAUGGAUCAAGAAUUCUCUACUGAUUUUCCUGAGGAGUGUUGACUGAUUAGUUAUGUCCCUGCCUCAUGAAAAGCAGUGUUCCACGUUGGCCCUCUUCUGUCUUCAGUUGGGUGUGGCAGUGCAAAGAGCAAUGACUUUAAAGAGCAGAAGACUGAAGAUUGAUAGUCCUACAUUGUUACUUGCUAACCUAUCUGACUGUGAGAAAAUCACUGCCUUCCCCAAUAAUAGAAUCACCUCAACCACUCCACAGUUAUUAAUGGAAAGAGAUUUUCACUUUGAAAAUGGUAGAUCAAACUGGCUAAGACUUACCUUCACUUGAUGCCACCACUUUUACCACUAUGAAUGACUCGGGCAUAGAUGUGAACACAUGACUCCUCUGUUCUCUGUAAUUCCACUGAAAGAGGAACACCAAAUUUGGAUGAGAUGUUGAAGAUUGGGGUUGGGGAAGGGUUAAAGUUAAAAAAAGGGGGAAACAAACAAACUCAGAGAAGAACAUGAAGUGAGAUGGUAAGGCUUAUGAAAUGUUCACUCUCUCGGUCUGAUUGGCUCUGUCCCAUUCAAGCUCCUGACCAGCCACUUUGUGAUGGGCACACUCUACACCGGUUAUCAGGAGUCUCUGUCUUCCUUGAAGGAUAAGAUCAAGACAGUGAGACCCAAAGGAUAAAAAUUCCUAUUCCUGUGUGCCAAAAGCCAGAGCUCUGGGUUAUUGUCUGGGGACCUGCUUCUUUCUCAGUUACUUAACUCUGGCAAUGCCCACACGCAUCAAGGGAGACCAUGCCAGCCCAUAGCCUCAUCUGGCCUUCAGUAUAAGUAUCUAAUUCCCAGUAUCUUGACUCUGUCUAAACACUCCGUGAUACCUUGUAAGAGCAAAAAUAUCAGGGGGGCUGCCUCAUUACUACAACUAUGAGAAAAUGACAUUUGAACUUACUGAGCUGUUGGACCCUCAUCUGUAAAUGAGAGCUAACAAGACCAGUUUUUUCAGAUUGAUUGUCAGGAUUAAAUGAGAUGACAUAAGCAAAAACUUUGUGUAUUGAUGUAUCAUACAAACUUAAAUCUCUAUUAUCCCUUCAAUAAAUUCUUUCCUUAUUACACAUUGGUGAACCUAACCAAGGUUUUUUUCUUUUGUUUUUUUUUCUUUAUGUCAAUGUCUUGUCUUUGGAGCUGGUUGGCCAAUUUCUUGAAGACAGGAAGCUAUUUUAUACCCCCUACCAUGUAGCACACAUGAUAAACACUCGGUACAUAGAUGUGCACUGAUUUUCUCUGUUGAACCUUACCAUUGCUGUGAAGAAAGGAUCUGCACUUUUCAUUUAUUUAACUCUGCUGUCGCAUCUGGAGAAAUGUUAAUCAGCUGCAGCUUUUUCCUCCCUUGGCUGUAUGACUCAAUCCUGUGUUGUCAUACUUCCCAAUUAGUAGCCAUUCCACAUGACUCAAAGGGAAAGAUGGAAAUGAGUCUCACCCAAGACAACAUAAAAGCAAAGAUAAUACAAUAAAUUAAGACUUCUGGUAAAACUACAAAGAAAAAGUGGGGAUUCCAAGCAACAUAGAUGUUCAGUUUUUUACAGUUUAUUCCAAAUACUCCCUCAACUCCAUAACUUUUUUUUUUCCCUGCCAGAGGCUAUCUUCUGAAUGAAGGGGUGGAGGUGCCAGGAUGGUCUUGGUGAGAAAUGGCUGUGAGGCCCGCUAUGAUAAUGUCACUACUAUGUGUGUGUCUUCUGGACCAUCCUUUGGAAAUUAUGCUGCUAUUAGCCAGGAAUCUUCUAGUAAUGCAAGAAUGUCAUGCGCAAAGUAGGUCAUCUUGUUUAAAUUAGUAACACCCUGGCAAGACGAAAUUAUUGCCAAGCAAGAGUAUUUCUGGUUAAUUUGCACUUAACUCAUUCAAAGGAUGAAGAUCCUUGAACUUCUUAGUCAAACGAACCAAAAAUCAUCUAUCAAUUUUAAAUUCGGAAAGGAUACUAACACUCAUGUGGUCUACCAAGGCUAAGUCUUCUUUGUUUUCUGUAAUGUGCAAGGAGAAAAUUCAGUCUUGCAGUCAGAAGUCACACUCUGAGGAAGCCAUUUUAUUUAAUUAUGUUUAAUUUUGCUCGUUUGAACUUUUGAAUAUUUUAUCCACAAAAUGCCAACAACUACUGCUUUCCCUUUGCUACUUUCUAAUAAUAAUGGCUUUUUAAAUAAAAGUUUUAGCAUGCUUUGGUGCUUUCCUCUUUUGUGUUGUCAUUUUUCCCACCAUGAUCAUGCUUCUUAUACUGUUUUGCAAUCUGGUUCUUUUUGUCUUCCCUUCUACUAAUGAAGGAGACUGACCAUGUCUGAUUCUUUUUAUACACUCAGUGACUGUUUAUAACCCCUAUCUCUUUUUCCCUGAAACUUUCUUUACAAGCCAGAGGAAAGAGAAAUAGUGCCAGCCUCCUUCAAUGCCAGAACUUGAGGCAGGAGGUUCAGGAUGUGAUCAAGACCCAGCUCUGAUACAGACAGAGGAUAGCUAAGAAUCUGGAAAAAGGAGCUAUAGAAAUCCUCACUCAGCAAUUGAAAGCAGUCAUCCUUCCAUCCCAUGAUGAGGCACUCCGAGAGCUCAUUGGGAAAGUGUUCAAAGGACCACAGAGUCCUACAGGUUUGGGGUGACGAUGGAGGAACAGAAGACUUCUGAAUAAUUGUACAGCUCACAGAGGCCCUAAUCCCUCAGAAGUCAACACCAUCACAUACCCACGGAAGUGCACGGCCAUCCUCCUCAAGUUAGCCAUGUUUGACUGGACCACAGUUGAUUGGAAGAGACGGAUGAGGGGAGGGGAAGGGAAGGAAGAGGAAUAUACCUAACUCACACUGGAUCAGUUCAAUUUUCUAUCACAGGAGCGUGUUAAUCUCUGCAGUGGCUGGAAGUGAGACGAUGUAAACGAGGGCACUCAGGGGCAGCCAUCUUUUGCAUACGGAGAAGUAGUGACAGCAAGUAGGCGUGGAGGGAAGAAUAACAAGUCUGUGAAAAGAGAGGAGAAACUGAGAAAUCAAACACUUUCUUGGCUUCUGAAAGCUUUCCAAUUACUAGUUUCAGUCCUUGAAGAGGCCCCAUUACCAUUGGCCUCCAUAAUAAAUGUCUGUCUCAUUUCAAUAAGUUGUCUCUUUUGGAUUGCACUAUCUUGUGUUGGUAUCUUGACGGAAAAAGGAGGAGCAUUCAAGGCCUGUGCAGCUACCUUUGCAGAGCUGAAGGUGCCUGAUCCUUCCUUGUAGUUCUUGUUUUCUUUUGCUCCUUUAUUCUGCAUUCCUUUAGCAUUCGUAUCGUCAAUUCAGAGCACGCCAUUUUUACACUUACUGUUUCUAUAACUGUUGCCAAAGUAUGUUCUAUUGCAUUAGUGUUUUCUAGAGCACUGCAUGUCUAG